GAGAGUGAACCAUUGUGGGGGAUCCAUUUACCAUACAAAAGGGUUGCUUAGAGGUGCAAAGAGGCCUCAGAAGAGGAUAGUCCAAAGUGGAUCUCUGGAUUCCUUGAAAGCUAAGAAGAAAGAAAACCCACAAGAAUGGAUUGCAUUAACUCAGGUCAGGGGAGUUGCAGGUGAAGACAGCUAUGAGUACAGGAAUGCCCCUGAGAAAAAGUCAACUUUAAAAUAAUUGCGGGGCGGGGGAUGCCUGGGUGACUCAGUCGGUUAAGUGUCCACCUUUGGCUCAGGUCAUGAUCUCACAGCUUGCGAAUUCGAGCUCCGUGUCUGGCCCUGUGCUGACAGCUCAGAGCCUGGAGCCUGGUUUGGAUUCUGUGUCUCCCUCUCUGCCCUUUCCCUGCUCAUGCUCUGUCUGUCUGUCUGUCUGUCUCUCUCUCUCUCUCUCUCUCUGUCAAAAAUAAGUAAACAUUAAAAAAAAUUUUUUUUAAAUAAUUGCUUGGGUGCCUGGCUGGCUUAUCAGGUAGAAUAUGUGACUCCCUCUCUCUUUUUUUUUAAUGUUCAUUUAUUUUGAGAGACAGAGAGUGUGUGCAUAUGUGUGAGUGAGGGAGGGGCAGAGAGAGCUGGAGAGAGAAUCCCAAACAGGGAUUAUCCGUGCUGUCAGCAGAGAGCCCUACUCAGGGUUCAAUCCCAUGGACCAUGAAAUCAUGACCUAAGCAAAAUCAAGAGUCAGACACUCAGUCAACUGAGCCACCCAGGUGCUCCUAGAGCAUGUGACUUGAUUUCAGGGGUCAUGAGUUCGGGCCCCACGUUGGAUAUGGAGUUACUAAAACAAACAAACAAAACACACACACACCAAAACCGUAAAAUAAAUGAAUGAAUGAAUGCCCAAUCCAGCAUGCUCAAAACCAUCUUACGAAGUGUCAGCCAGAUAACCACCACUUACAGUUGACCCUGCAAGGUCAGACCAUAGUUAACCAGCUGAGAGAGGAGGGAUGGAAUUAGGCAGGAAAGAAGAAAAGGACUAUGCCAGCCUUCUACCCCUACUGCAGGUGGUUAGCCUGUAGCCUGGCCUGGCUGAUUAAAGUUUGACUUGCGGUGAUUUUCUAAUUUUACAGGGUUGGCUGGACAUUCUGUUUCAGUGCUUUGUGAGUUAAAACAACUCUAUGGAUGUUUCAUUACUUGAAAGAUUUUUCAACCUGGAUUGGGAGAAAAAUACCUGAAUAUUUGCUAGUGGGAGGUGAUGUUGCCAUCUGAUUAUAUCCCAUGAGUCCAAAAUAGUGGUUACAUAUAAUAAGAUUUCGGGGGCGCUUGCAUGGCUCAGUCAGAAGAGUGUGUGACUCUUGAUCUCAGGGUUGUGAGUUCCAAGUCCCACAUUAGGUAUAGAAAUUACUAAAAAAAAUUUUAAAGAUAAAAGAUUUUUGUUUAAACGCUUUUUUUUUUUAUGGCUACAAUUCCAUUCGUGUGAUUUCUCAAAAUCUGAAAUAGUUAUAUUACAAUUGUGUGUAGAAUAUGUAUGUGAAUAUGUCAUUUUUAACUUUUUUAAUGUUUUGUUUAUUUUUGAGACAGACAGAGACAGAGCAUGAGCAGGGGAGGGGCAGAGAGAGGGAGACACAGAAUGUGAAGCAGGCUCCAGGCUCUAAGCUGUCAGCACAGAGCCCGACGCGGGGCUCGAACUCACAGACUGUGAGAUCAUGACCUGAGCUGAAGUCGGACGCUUAACCGACUGAGCCACCCAGGUGCCCCCAGUCACCUUUAACUUUUUAAACAAAACUUGUAUUAUCUUGGUAUUUUUAUAUGAUUUUUCUAAUGUACUUUUUAUAGCUUACUAUUGUUUUCCCUUAAAAUUCCUAAUUUAGAAUUCCCCUAAUUUGGUCGUUAUUUCCCCCUAUUUGUUAUCAAAAUUCUAUUGUUUUGGGAUGCCUGGGUGGCUCAGUUGUUUCGAUGUCCGACUUUGGCUCAGGUCAUGAUCUCACACUUCAUGAGUUCAAGCCCCACAUUGGGAGCCUACUUGAAAUUCUCUCUCUCUCUCUCUCUCUCUCUCUCUCUCUCUCUCCCUCUCCCUCUCCCUCUCCCUCUCUUUCCCUCUCUUUCUAUGCCUCUUUCCCAUGUGCUCAGUCACUCUCAAAAUAAAUAAAUAAACUUAAAAAAUAAAUAAACCUUAAAAAAUUAAUACUGGGUUUAUUUUGUUUAUUUUUGAGAGAGAAAACAUGAGUGAGUAGGGGAGAGGCACAGAGAGGACAGAGUAUCUGAAGUGGGCUCUGCACUAACAGCAAUGAGCCUCAUGUGGGGCUUGAACUCACGAACUGUGAGAUCAUGACCUAAGCCAAAGUUGGACGCCCAACCGACUGAGACACCCAGGCGCCCCAAAAUGAGUACUUUCGAUAUUGAAAGAGCUAAUCCAAGGAUUUACCAGAAUUAUUUACUUAUUUUAUUGCUAAAUUAAUAAGACAAGAAAAGUCGUUUCUGAUGACUACUUUUAGUUGGUCACAGCUCUUAUUUCCCCCUUUACUCUGUUGCUAACAUUCUAUGAUUAUGUUAAAAUUCAGGAAUUACCUUGUGGUGUCCUUCUUUGCUCUCCCUUUCAUACUGGUAAACUCUAAGGUUAUUUCCUUGGUCCUCUGAUCUUCUCUCCAUAUUCUUCUAUCUGUAUGCUGGUGAUUUCAUAGUCUUUCUUUCUCUCCAGCCCUUCUAUUAAGGUAUAUGUCCAGCUGUUUUCGCGGUUUCUCCAGAGCAUUACAUGUGUACUUUGGCAACAAACUGUUCUCUAAUUGUUUCUCGGUUGACAUCCUGCCACCUGAUGGUGAGCUCUAGGAAGCAAUCUUGAACAUGUUAUCUCUAGGACUAAUAGAAGUGCUUUUUAGGUAGUCAGCUAAUAAGUUUUCAGUGAAUGAAAGAAUAAUAGGCAUUCAUAGGUUUGUUAUCCUAAUUAUCUCACCAUUGGGCAGAGCACUGGAAUAGAUGGAUUAAACUCUCCCUAGAAGGUUAAAUAAUGCUAUAGAGACUAUUAGGUGAUUUUCAUUUCUGAAAAUAUCCUAGUGAGUACAACAGUAAAGGAGAUACCUUUUAAGUGACUGGAACGUAUUAUAGAGGAAUAUCUGAUUUCUUCUUAGAAGAUAAAGAAUGCAAGGUAGGAUUGUGUGCCAGGCUUAUAAAGUGUCUGACACACAAAAGGACCCAUCAAAUGAAAAGAUUAAGACCUCUAGCAUGAAAUUCUUUAAGGUGUUCUGGAUUGGUUUCAUAGAAUAUGUGCUUUAUCUUUGAUCAACUAAUUGCUACCAUUCAUGUUCUAAAUUAAAUGUCUUACAUACAUUUGUUACUAUUAAUGAAAGUCUCUUAAAAUUCAACCUCAGGAGACAAUUUUGUGAAUUUUUCAUAUAUCUAUUUGUAGUGCUGGGAGAUUCCAGACUUAAUUUUAAAAUUAGAGAUGGACUUAAUAGAGAAUGGGGCAGAUGGAGAGGCAGGUGGAUCAAACUUUAAAUAUUUAAAAUUAAAUGUUUAAAUUAAGUAUUAACAUUAAAUAUUUAAAAGCCGUUAACUAUUUAAAGACUUCCUGUAGUCCUUAAUCAGAUCCAUGCCGAAUUCUCUACUCCCCAAACUUGCACAAGUAAAAGCCACAGUUUCCAUUAAUUAUGUGUUAUGACCAUGUAAAGUGGGUUACUGUGUUUUCCCUUAGGAAGAAUGUAUUCAAGCUGUGUUUUGUGGGGCUUCUGGGUGGCUCAGUCGGUUAAGCAUCUGACUUAGGCUGUGGUCAUGAUCUCACAGUUCGUGGGUUUGAGCCCCGCGUCGGGCUUCAUGCUGACAGCUUAGAGCCUGGAGCCUGCUUCAGAUUCUGUGUCUCCCUCUCUGCCCCUCCCCUGCUCUGUGUUCUGUCUGUCUCUCUCAAAAAUAAAUAAACAUUAAAAAAACAAAAACCUGUGUCUUGUUUACUGCACACCUCUAAUGGAGUUUCUAAGUUGAAUUUUACCAUUAGUAAUCAGAUGCAGUCUUUUAUUGGAGUUAAAAAUAAUGAAAUAGAUUAUUUGAUGUUGCAAAAAAGUGAAAAAUCUGUUUCCCAUUUUCCAGAUUCCUUGUUUCUCUUCUUAUAUUGUCUUGUGAACUUACCAAGUGGUCAGAUCAAAUCAGGAUGUUUUUGUGAAAAGAUGGGCAUCUCCUGAGUAGGUCCUGGAUUUAAAUAGCAGUGGUUACAAUUCAAAGAAAGAAUAUAUCUCCUGGACUCUGAAGGAAACAGAUGUAUAGUGCUAGUCUCUCUGUAGCUGCCAUCUUACUAUGUUUAAGUGGAUACAUUUCACUUAAAUGUGCUUAUCAUUCACCUUUCAUUUUUUCUGCAGAGCAGAAAGGAUUUAAGGCCCUCCCCUUAAGUUUUGCUACUCUUCACAGUCCUGAAAGCAUGUUAAAGACCAGCUGUUCUUAAGCCUGAGAUGUUAGUUAUGUCUGUGUAACUCCUAGAAAUUAUGAACUAGGUGAUGACAAAGACAGAGUUGGAAGAAGAUGGAAGAAAAUGAGACAAAAUAUAAAGGUAACUGGAGAAGUUGGUUGCUAAAGGUUUUUCAGGAAGAACAAAAAGUCUUCUUUUUAUGUUAUUUUCAAAUAAUCUUGGUUAUCUGCAAGAAGCUGUCAUGGUUGUAAGUCAAAACUAUGAAAUGACAGUGAUAAGAAAUUUGUGAUUGAAGCAAGGUGAACCCUGGCAUAAAAUUUUCACGGAUCGGGAGAGCACAGCACCCACCAGGUAGAAUGGCAAGUUGCCAGUAUUAGCUCUGCUAUGACAAAGGUUCAAUUUUGAAAAUUUUUAAUUUUGGGGAUGGCUGAGUGGCUCAGUGGGUUAAGCGUCUGACUUCAGUUCAGGUCAUGAUCUUGUGGUGAGUUCGAGCCCCACAUCAGGCUAUGUGCUGACAGCUCAGAGCCUGGGGCCUGCUUCAAAUCCCAGGUCUCCCUGUCUCUCUCUGCCCCUCCCCCACUUGUGCUCUUGCUCUUUCUCUCUCAAAGAUAAACAUUAAAAAAAUUUUAAAUUCUUAAUUUUGAUGAAAAAUCAUGUUUCAUACUGUUAUAGCAGAAAAAGACUUCAGAGUUUAUACAGAUUCCAUAGGGGAGAAGUGUGGGGAAAAAAAACAGAAGACCAAGGUGAAAAUUUAAAUUGCAUUCCUAAUCUGAGAUUUUUUUUUUUAAGAUUUUUAAAGUUUAUUUUAUUUAUUUAUUUUGAGAGAGAGAGAGAGAGAGCACAGGGGAGCGGUGGAGAGAGAGGGAGAGAGGGAAUUCCAAGUCUCUGUGCUGUCAGCACAGAGUCCAGCAUGGGACAUGAACUCAUAAACUAUGAGAUCGUGACCUAAACCUAAAUCAAGAGUCAGACACUUAACAGACUGAAAACCAGGUGCCCCCUGCUAAUCUGAGUUUCAAUCUUUGAAAGUUACAAAUAAAAGAUACGGGGGCACCUGGGUGGCUCAGUUGGUUGAGCAUCUGACUUCAGCUCAGGUCAUGAUCUUGUGUUUUGUGAGUUCAAGCCCCACAUUGGGCUCUGUGCUGUUAGCACAGAGCCUAUUUUGGAUCCUCUGUCUCCCUUUGUCUCUGUCCCUCCCCUGCUUAUGCUCUCUCAAAAAAUAAAUUAAAAAAAGAAGAAGAAGAAGAGUUACAAAUAUCCCCUUCUGCCUAAGGAAUCUCAGUCACAGAUGGUGUCUGCUCUGGAUAGGUGAGGAAUAUGGCUAGAGGGGGUACAAAGAUGGUGAAAAAAUUCUCUAGUCAUAAACUGCUUUCGUAAGCAGAAAUUUUCCUAGAAGGGAUUAAAGAGAUGUGCGGUAUGUUGCGUACACCCUGGGACAAAGACUUGGUCUUAGCACUGACAGCCCUGUGGCCCAAGAAUCCCCCAGUCCUAAGCACACUGGAGAACCCACUUGAGUUCUGGAGGUCAGAGGUCUGAAAAUCCCACUAAAGCCAAGCUGUUGGCAAGGCUGCAUUCCUUUCUGAAGGUUCUAGAGAAGAAUCCAUGUUCUUGUCUUUUCCAACUUCUAGAGGAUUCCUAGGCUUAUGGCCCCCUUCCAUCUUCAGAGCCAGUAAUGGCCUGUCGAGUCUUUCUCACACCAUUCUGACACUUCCAUUUCCCUCUUCCUCAUUUAAAGGACCCUUGUGAUUACAUUGGACCUGCCUGGAUAAUCCAGCGUAAUCAUUUUAGCAACUUAUUAGCAAACUUAAUUCCAUCUGCAACCUUAAUAGCCUUGCUUGCCAUGGUAUCAACAUUCACAGGCUCCAAUAAUUAGGAUGUGGACAUCUUUGGCAACCAUUACUCUACUUACAACCACACUCCCCUUUUUCCUUCAUAGAGAUUUCCCUAGUAAAUCUCUUUCACAUCUAGUCCUGCCUAAGCAUCUGCUUAUUUGAGGACUCCAUGAACACAAGUGGUGCUGGGAGUGGUCUGAGGAAACAGGUUUUGAGACUGCCUUACAGCCAAAACAACACCAUUGUGAGUGGCACAUGGGGCAUGAGUAUUCCCUAGCACAAAGCAGUUGUGACCUUGAAAAAAAUUCCAGGUACAGGAACUUUGAAAGAUAUGGAUGGAACAUAUCUAUAAAAUGGUAGACCCACUUCUCUAAGUAUAUAUAUACCAAGAGAAAUGAAAACAUGCAUCCACACAAAUGUUCACAGCUACGUUGUUCAUAAUAGCAAAAAAGUGGGAACAGCUUAAAUGUUCAAGUGAAAAAUGGAUAAACAAAAUGUGGCAUAUCCAUAAAAUGGAAUGUGAUUUGGCCAUAAAAAGGAACCAAGUACUAAUAAAUGCUGCAGCAUGGAUAUAGUGGGUUGAAAGGUGUCCUUCCAAAAGAUAUGUCCAUGUCCUCACUCCUGGAAGCUGUGAAUGUGACCUUUGGAAAAAAGGUCUUUGUAAAUGUACUUAUGGAUUUUGAGAUAGAUCAUCCUGGAUUAUCUGGUUGGCUAUAAAUUCAGUGACAUAUCCUUACAAAAGACGCAGAGGAAAGACAGAGAAAACAGGAGAAAACCAUGUGAAGACAGGUAGAGGUUACACUGACGCCCCACAUCAGAAACUGGAAGAGGCAAGGAAGGAUUCUAUACUAGAUGUUUUCGACAAAGUAUGGCAGUGCAGACACCAUGAUUUCAGAAUACUGGCUUCUAGAACUGUGAGAAUAAAUUUCUGUUCUUUUAAGCCACCAAGUUUGUGUUAUUUAUGAUAAUUAGUUGCAGCAGCUCUAGGAAACUAAUAUAACGGAUAUAACUGAAAACAUUUUGCUAAGUGAAAAAAAGCCAGUCAUAAAAGACAACAUAUGAUUCAUUUUUUAAUUUUUAUUUUCUUAUACUUUUUUAAGACUUUUUUUUUUUUUUUGAGAAGGAGAGCAAGCAGGGCAGCGACAGAGCGGGGGUGGGGGGACAGAGGAUCAGAAGCGGGCUCCAUGCAGACAGCAGAGAGCCCGAUGAGGGGCUCGAACUCACAAACCAUGAGAUCGUGACCCAAGCCAAAGUUGGACACUUCACUGACUGAACAAUCCAGGCCACUCUUUAAUUCCAUGUAUAUGAAAUGUCCAAAAGAGGAAAAUCUAUCAAGACAAACAAUAGGUUAGUGGUUACCCAGGGCCAAAGGGUUGGAAGGAAAUGGAGAGUAACUCCUAGUGGGUAUAGGGUUCCUUUCUGGGGUAAUGAAAAUGUCAAAAUUGAUCGUGCUGAUAGCGCCCCAAUUCUGUGAAUUUCUAAACAAUUGAAUUGUCCACUUUAAACAGGCAAAUUAUAUAUGAAUUAUGUUUCAAUAAAGCUGUUUUAAAAAGCUA